rnacentral:rRNA from 1 species
CGGGACGGGUGAGUAACGCGUGGAUAACCUGCCGUAUACUGGGGGAUAACACUUAGAAAUAGGUGCUAAUACCGCAUAAGCGCACAGUCUCGCAUGAGACGGUGUGAAAAACUCCGGUGGUAUACGAUGGAUCCGCGUCUGAUUAGCUUGUUGGCGGGGUAACAGCCCACCAAGGCGACGAUCAGUAGCCGGCCUGAGAGGGUGAACGGCCACAUUGGGACUGAGACACGGCCCAAACUCCUACGGAAGGCAGCAG